CACGUAGGGGACGAGCGUUGUCCGGAUUCAUUGGGCGUAAAGCGCGCGUAGGCGGCUCGGAAAGUCGGGCGUGAAAUGCCGGGGCUCAACCCCGGGACUGCGUCCGAUACUUCCGAGCUGGAGGUAGGUAGGGGAGAUCGGAAUUCCUGGUGUAGCGGUGAAAUGCGCAGAUAAUCAGGAGGAACACCGGUGGCGAAGGCGGAUCUCUGGGC
rnacentral:rRNA from 1 species